GUCACAUGGUGGGCGCUGUGGCUGCGGCUGCGGCUGCAGCGGCCCCAGGUGCAAACAGACUGCCGCCGAAUGUGAGCAGCGAGGCGAGGGGUCGAGGUAGCGAGGAGUCAGGGUGGCCCGCAGCAGGAAGACAGAAGGCGUGGAGACAGACUGGCGUUUUGCCUCAGAGGAAGAAGUGGGGUCCCCUCUCCCAUUCUGUGAGCAAGUGCCAGUUCCAGUGAUUCGUACUUUCAUGUCCGAGGAACAAAAGCUCAGACCGCUGAGAUGUUCACUCUGCACUUUCAGCAGCACUCACAUUGAGAUAUGAGAAGACUGCAACAAGAACAAAAGGGUUGUGCCACCUCCUUUGGAUGUGAAGAGGAUGUGCUGACACGUGUGCUCGGGAGCCAGACUUUGUGGCCUUGGGGAAAGGACUGAAUAUUUCUGUGCUUCGUCGUUUGCAUCUGUGGAAUGCAGAGAUGACAAGGAAAAUCUUCAUUACCAUUUCAAGAACUGGGAACAAAGAAAAAUCCCGUUCCAGGACGCAAAGGAGGAGAUGCGGGUAGCUGAACAGAAACUUUUGAAGAUUACCAUGGGAAUACACCUGUGAACUUCCAGGUUUGAUCUCAGUUACUCCCUUACUUGAAGAAGGCUUCGAUGAUUCCUCAUGGAGAAAUCCCAGAUACUUCUGCACAUGAUUCAGAGGUCAAGAUGAUUGGCCCCUCGGCCUUCACAUAUGCUGUUCCCUCUGCUGUUCCCCAUGCUGCCCCCAGGGAGCUGCCCAUCACCCGCCAGGACCUUCCUGCCCUGGGUGCACCCAUAGUGCUUUGUGCCUUUCUCUUUCUUGCCACUUGCCACAUUUUACUGUAGUUAUUUGUUUAUAAUUACAAAUAUAAACCUGC
ensembl:lncRNA DLX2-DT DLX2 divergent transcript